CAGCAGCCACGGUAAAACGUAGGUGGCAAGCGUUGUCCGGAAUUAUUGGGCGUAAAGCGCGCGCAGGCGGAUAGGUCAGUCUGUCUUAAAAGUUCGGGGCUUAACCCCGUGAUGAGAUGGAAACUGCCAAUCUAGAGUAUCGGAGAGGAAAGUGGAAUUCCUAGUGUAGCGGUGAAAUGCGUAGAUAUUAGGAAGAACACCAGUGGCGAAGGCGACUUUCUGGACGAAAACUGACGCUGAGGCGCGAAAGCCAGGGGAGCGAACGGGAUUAGAUACCCCCGUAGUCCCUGUCUCUUAUACA
rnacentral:rRNA from 1 species